UACUCUCUUCUUCUUUCUUUUGUUUAUCAUUCUUCAGUGUUCUUAAUAAAUCACCAUCGCUGCUUCUCUUUACUCCGAUCAUUGGAUCUCCACAUGGUAUCAGAGUUAUUCUUUCGGUUGUUUUUCUGUGUUAAUUUGAAGGACGUUUGAUUUCUGCGCCUUCGCGGUGCCUGUCACGCGAGAUUAUGUUCUCCUCUGACAAGCGGUCGCUUCUAAUCGGUUUCUUGCUUUGAGUUUAAUUCUUGAUUUCAGGUGAUAUUCUUUCCUAUUAUCCUUCUGUUUUGCUGAUUAAGCGCCUCUAUUGUGGUUUUUUGGUGAAGGAUUGCUUUCGUUAUCAACGUUUUUCUUUCUCGUCUGAUUGUUGUUCUGCGUUAUUUAUUUCUGCUGCUAGUGUUCUUCUGUUUUUAUAUGACGAAUACUGCCUCUAAUCAAAGUCAAUUAUAUCUUGGCAAUUCUAAUGCCUCUACUUGAUUGUUCUCUACUAAAAAAGAUAAUCGUUACUUUAGAUGAUCAAAAUUACUUGUCGUGGCAUCAACAAGUCUAUCUUGCUAUUAAUACACAGGUUGCUUAAGUAUAUCGACAGUGAUGUUAUUCCUCCUUAACAUGUUACUCGUUAAGGUCAAGUUGCUAUAAAUCCUGAGUUUAAGUCUUUUGAAGAGCAAGAUAGUGCCCUUGCCUCUUGGUUAUUGUCUACUAUUAGUGAGUCUGUUUUACCUUAUUUUAUAGGGCUUAAUACUUCGUCUGAAAUAUGGCAUACUUUACAUAGAUUGUAUAUUGGCUAGAAUACAUCUGGGUUAAUGUCUUAUCGACGGUUAUAUUGCACUCACAAAAGAAGGGUGAGCUGUCUUUGAGUGAUUAUUUGAUGUCCAUUAAAACUGUUUGUGAUAACUUGGCUAGCUGUGGUGAACUUAUUUAUGAGCAUGAGCAUAUUACUGCUAAAUUGAAUGGUCUUCCUCCUGAGUAUGAGGUUAUGGUUACUGUUAUUACUGUUGGUUCUUCUCCUACUAUCAUAGGACUGUUAGAACUAUUCUACUUGAUGCUGAUGCCAAUUUAGGACUGUUAUAUCCAGACAGUCUGGGUUUAAUAGUCAGAUUACUGCUUCUGUACAUUUUCUGCUCAUUAGUCUACUGGUGAUAUCAUUGCUGUGAUUCAUAAUAAUCAUUUUUCUCAUGUUGAUGUUAAUAAUUACAAUACUAGGGACCACAGUAACAACAGUAGAGGCAGAGGUAGAGAUAGAGGUAGGUUUAACUCCUUCAGAUCUCAACGCCAAUUGUAUGGAAUGAUGGGUCUACUUGUUGAAAAUGUGUUAUUAUAGGUUUGAUAUGGGUUAUAAAAAUGAGUCAUUUAGAAAGACUCAAGGGAAUAAUGGCAGAAAUAAGAAUUUCACUCAAGCUAAUGUCAGUACUUAUAAUUCAGCUUCUAAUAUUGUUCUGCCUUACUCUACAGCUUUUUACUACAAUCCUCCUUCUGUCAUGACCAGGGUUUCAAAUCGCGGUCGUGGUCGCAUUUUCGGUCAUUUCGGGUUUACCUUGAUUAUGGCCGUCGCGGGCGCUAUUGCGGGUGUAGCGGGUAACUCGGACGGUGGUGAAACCGCUAUAUCGCGGACGAAAUCGCGUUUUCGGAACGUUUUUUGAAACCCUGGUCAUGACUGCUCCCCAAGGAUUCUCUCCCCUGGUCCCCAAUUUUCAUGUGUCUGCUGCACUAUAUAAUCAUUUUUUUUCUUUUUCCAGUAAUUUUGUAGUUUCUGCUCCUGUGUUUCCUGCUAUGUCUGUUGCCGGCAGUACAAUUCAGCAUGGUGUUCCACCUGCAAGUGCUCAGUCUCAAUACAUGACUGUCAAUCCCUGGCUUUCUCAGUCUCCUUAAACCCUUAUUGCUACACCUGUUGUGUUAAAAGAUAAUACUUGGUUUCCUGAUUCAUGUGCCAUAAACCACAUUACAAAUGAUUACAAUAAUCUUCAAGUUGGGUUUGUGUCUCAUGCUUCUGCAGGUGUUCAUGUUGGAAAUGGCAAUAUUCUUCCUAUCACUUGUGCUAGCCAAUUAAGCUUGUUUUUUAAUUCAAAUUUGUUUAAACUUAGGAACUUGUUUUAUGUUCCUAAAAUUUUUACUUUCUGUGUCUAAGUUUACACAUGACAAUAAAGUUUCCUUUGAGUUCUUCCCCUCAUACUGUCAAGUGAAAGAUCUUGAGUCGAGGGAGGUUCUUAUUUAAGGUCAUGAAGUGGGAGGGAUGUACAAGUUUGUGUUGUCUCAAGAAAAGUCUGUGUUUAUAGAGCACACUCAAGAGUUUAAUGCUCACAAUAAUUCUUGUGUUUCUAAUAAAUGUUCUACUGCUCCUAAUGCUCUUUUGUAUUCCUAUGUUAAGCAUGAUUCUUUAGAUUUGUGGCAUAAAACGAUGGGUCAUCCUCGUAAAAGUAUUUUGCUACAAGCUUUGAAAGAGUGUAAUAUUCUUUUUGUCAAUAAAAAAGAUGAGCAUGUCUGUACUGCCUGUCAGUUAGCUAAAUCUCAUAAAUUUCCAUUUUAUUUGUUUAAUACUGUUUAUUCUAAGUCUUUGGAACUUGUUGUUACUGAUAUUCGGGGUCCUGCACCUUUGUGUUCUAAUGGUUUUAGGUACUAUGUUGCAUUUACAGAUGUUUUUUCACGCUAGACUUGGGUCUAUUUUUUAAAACAAAAGUAUGAGGUUAAAGAUGUCUUUGUUCAGUUUCACAUGCAAAGAUAUAUGAUUACCUUGCUGAGUUGAGAGGAACAAACCCUGGGAUAACAACCAUUUUUCCUCUAGAUAAUAGGGUUUUUGUGAGAAUGUAUAUCUGUCUUCAAACCUGCAAUGAUAGAUUUAAAGCAGGAUGUAGACCAAUCAUUAGCCUUGAUGGUUGUUUUCUUAAGGGCUAUCAUCAAAGUUAUCUACUAGCAGCAAUUGGGGUUGAUGCAAAUGAUUGCAUCUAUCCAUUGGCUUAUGCUGCAGUUGAGAGUAAAAACCUUUCUUCUUGGUCUUGAUUUUACAAACUCUUGAAGAAGACUUAGAGCUCACAAACUCCUAUCACUAUACAUUCAUGUCAGACAAGCAAAAGGGUCUAGUAGAGGCAAUUGCAGAAAUGUUUCCAAAUGCUGAGCACAGAACUUGUGUGAGGCAUCUUUAUUCCAACUUCAAGUCCAAGAGGAACAACCAAGGAAAGGCAUUAAAAGAUGUGUUGUGGAAGGCUGCAAGGGUAUCUUACAUAAAAGAAUUCACUGAUGUAAUUAAUUAAAUUAGGUCAAUGUCGAGAGAUGCAUUUGAUUGGUUGCAAAAUAAGAAUCCUUCACAGUGGUCAAAGUUCCAUUUCUCAACAAGGUGCAAGUUUGACAUGCUCAUUAACAACCUGUGUGAGAGCUUUAAUAAGGUGAUUUUGGAAGCCAGGGACAAACAAUCUUAAACAUGAUGGAGAUGAUUAAAUCAAAUAUCAUGCAAAGAAUUGCAACUAAGAAAGAAGCUGCUGAAAAGAUAAUUGGUCCACUUUGUCCGAAAAUUCAGAAGAAAGUUGAGAAUGUUAGCUUCCAAUCUAGAAGGAAUUCCUUGUAUACAUGUUGCAUCUAUUAUCAUGCUCAACCAAGAGAGACCUGAAUCCUAUGUUAGCAGCUACUACUCCAAAGAAACUCAACUGAGUAUAUAUGAAAACAUGGUCAGGCCAGUUAGAUGUCCAAAGCAAUGGGCUCAUUACAAUACAAAUGAAUCUAUCUUACCCCCUAUAAUCAGAAGGCCUCCUGGAAGAUCUCAAAAGAACAAAAGAAAGGAGCUUGAUGAACCAGUAAUAGCAACUGGAAGAAUGACCAAAAGGCGGGUUACAAUGACAUGAAAAAAAUAUGGAAACACUGGCCACAAUAGGAGGGGGGAAAAUUUGUGGUAACACGCCUGUUGUACCACCAAACAGAGGCUGAGAGACCAACAAAGGAGACUAAUGCAACAGGUCUAAGCCAAAACCAACAAAACUCAAUCAACAUAGUAAGGUGGAUGAUGCAUUCUCAUGAAAAAUCUGUCACCCAACCUGAACCUCAACCUCAUACAAAAAUUAAGAGACCUAUAAGGUCUAAUCCAGAAGGUCCUACCCAAUACCAUCAACGGAACUAGAACACACAAGGCCCAAUCAACACAGUCAGGUGGAUGAUGCCUUCUCAACAAAACAGUUCCACCCAACCUAAACUUCAAAUAAUAGCAAAUAAAGUGGCCAAACUACCUGUUUGGAGACCAAUGAGGUCCAAUCCAGCAUGUUCAAGUCACCAUUAUCAAGGGAGCCACAACACAAAGGACUCGAGC